UCCUAUGGGCGGGCCGGACGGGGAGCCGCAAGGCUCGCCGGUGCCUACUGCCGGUCUCUCAACCCGUCCGGUUCCGCCCACCCUU
rnacentral:antisense_RNA from 1 species